rnacentral:rRNA from 1 species
CGUAGGGUGCAAGCGUUAAUCGGAAUUACUGGGCGUAAAGCGUGCGCAGGCGGUUCGGAAAGAAAGAUGUGAAAUCCCAGAGCUUAACUUUGGAACUGCAUUUUUAACUACCGAGCUAGAGUGUGUCAGAGGGAGGUGGAAUUCCGCGUGUAGCAGUGAAAUGCGUAGAUAUGCGGAGGAACACCGAUGGCGAAGGCAGCCUCCUGGGAUAACACUGACGCUCAUGCACGAAAGCGUGGGGAGCAAACAGGAUUAGAUACCCUGGUAGUCCACGCCCUAAACGAUGUCAACUAGCUGUUGGGGCCUUCGGGCCUUGGUAGCGCAGCUAACGCGUGAAGUUGACCGCCUGGGGAGUACGGUCGCAAGAUUA